UACGUAGGGUGCAAGCGUUGUCCGGAAUUAUUGGGCGUAAAGAGCUCGUAGGCGGUUUGUCGCGUCUGCUGUGAAAUCUGGAGGCUCAACCUCCAGCCUGCAGUGGGUACGGGCAGACUAGAGUGCGGUAGGGGAGAUUGGAACUCCUGGUGUAGCGGUGGAAUGCGCAGAUAUCAGGAAGAACACCGAUGGCGAAGGCAGAUCUCUGGGCCGUGAACUGACGCUGGAGGAGCGAAAGCAUGGGGAGCGAACAGG
rnacentral:rRNA from 1 species